rnacentral:rRNA from 1 species
AAUGAACGCUAGCGGUAGGCCUAACACAUGCAAGUUGAACGCAUACUUUUACAGUAUAAGUAGCAAACGGGUGAGUAACGCGUGAGAAAUCUACCUUACAAUCUGGGAUAAAAUCCCGGAUUCUUUCUAAACUAGAUGUUCCGACAAAUAGUAUAGAAUAAAAGAUUAAAUGUCGUUGUAAGAUGUGCUCGCGUAGGAUUAGGUAGUUGGUGAGGUAAAAGCUACACCAAGCCGAAGAUCCUUAGCUGGUCUGAGAGGAUGAUCAGCCACACUGGGACUGAGACACGGCCCAGACGCUUUCGAGCGGCAGCAGUGAGGAAUUUUGGACAAUGGGCGAAAGCCUGAUCCAGCCAUAUCGCAUGAGUGAAGAAGGCUCAAUGGGUUGUAAAGCUCUGAUUUGAUUGAAGAUUAUGACAUAAGAUCAAAGAAGAGUCCCGGCUAACUUCGUG